rnacentral:rRNA from 1 species
UACGGAGGGAGCUAGCGUUGUUCGGAAUGACUGGGCGUAAAGCGCGCGUAGGCGGAUCAUCAAGUCGGGGGUGAAAUCCCGGGGCUCAACCCCGGAAUGGCCUUCGAGACUGGUGGUCUUGAGUUCGAGAGAGGUGAGUGGAAUUCCGAGUGUAGAGGUGAAAUUCGUAGAUAUUCGGAGGAACACCAGUGGCGAAGGCGGCUCACUGGCUCGACACUGACGCUGAGGUGCGAAAGCGUGGGGAGCAAACAGG